rnacentral:lncRNA from 1 species
GCUGCCGGAGAUGUUCAGCCCGCCUCGCCCCUUCCGGUCCUGGAUCUAGAGGGAGAAGUCGGGGAUUCUGCAGAAUUCACAUUCUCUGAAUGCAGGCGACCAAACACGAUUCGUCAGGCUCCCACCAGGCCUUGGUGCUUCUAUGUCUGGCGCUCUCGGUGCCAAGAACUGAGCUUUUCUGGGAGGACUUGAUGGAUAUGACAUCAUGCAACCUGCCAAGUUACACACACUUCCACAGCAGAGGAGAGAAGAGGAUGGGGCCCUUAGCAACUUUCCCAGGACCACAAGGCUACUCAAUGGUGAAUUCACUGAAGCAAAGGGAACUGGGAACCUUCCUGAAGAAUGUUUGGUGCUUUUCCAUUGCUUUUGAUCCAGGAACACUAGACUCUAAACAAGCAGGUAACAGUCUUCAGUAAGAACAAAGCAGUGUGGAGUCUUCAGUAGAUGUGGAGUCACAUCUGGGAUGGACAAGCCUGUGCAUUCUCACUUUGAUUGGCUCCACUCAGGUCACAUGUCUCUCAGCAAGCUAAGAGAAGAAAAGUAACUCCUGGUACUUCUCUAUUUCUGUAUAACAAAAUAUCCCAAAACUUAGUCUCCUAAGAGGAAAGCAAAUUCUUGUCUUUUGGCUUCCAUGGCUCAGGGAUGUGGGGCAGCUUGGCUGACCGAUUCUGGGCUUGAGUCUCCUGUGAGGUCACAUGCUUUUCACUGUAGCUACAGUCACCUGCAGGUUCAACUGGGCUCCUUGCUGCUUCAUCCUCUCCAGUAGAGCAUGC